UAACUGCUGUGAGGAGUUUGCUAGUUAUAAAUAUCGUCCAAUCAAAAUGGAUCACGUCAUUUUGAGGCAACCCCCUCAAGCGAUUGACGUGAAACAUCGGAAAUUACCAAUUGAACUAGGCCACGUCCGAAUUGUCAGUUAACGUCACAUGUAUUAUAACGCGACAAACAAGGAAGUGAACGCAGAUUUACAUAUCUCAACGUCGGAGUCACGUGACAUAAUUGGGAAUUCCGAAAACAUGGUUGCCGGCCAGGGAAGGACGAAAUUCAUCAUUUGCGGUGUUGGGGUUUUUGUCACGUAUUUUUACUACGGCAUUCUUCAAGAAGAUAUGACCUAGAUUGUGAAGUACACAUUACUUGACGGAAAGUCAAUAGCCUGUUAUAGACUGUAGUUUAGUGGGCCUAGGGUCUGCAUGAUCUGAAUUAAGGCUACACACAAGUGGUUUAGAGGUCUUAAUUAACGGGUGGGGGCAGUGUGGGUAGUGUAAUGACUGAAGUACGUAUAGAUUUGAGUGACACGGACAAGGAGUUGAGUGUAACCAAAUGGAUGAGGAUACGCCUAGUGUUCGUUUGUGCGUGUGGGAUUAUCGUGUUUCAUUUGAUGCUGGGCAUUCUUCAAGAAGAUAUUGUAGGCGGAAAAGGUUGGCCCUGAUUAGCCUUUGUGGACUAUACAGGCCUACCUGGGAUUACAUGUAACUAUACAGGCCUACCUGGCAUUACACUUAACUAUACAGGCCUACCUGGGAUUACACGUAACGCACAUGCAUUAACCCUUUGUGGACUAUACAGGCCUACCUGGGAUUACACGUAACGCACAUGCAUUAACCCUUUGUGGACUAUACAGGCCUACCUGGGAUUACACGUAACGCACAUGCAUUAACGCUUUUCCACUCAGAAGCAAAUUGAAAAUGGCUAUGUGCAAACAGCAUGAAACCAGAACAGCCUGCGAGUAACUCUCAGUCUGUUCAGGUUUUAUUAUGUUUGCUGCUCAUCAGUAUCUCAGGGAUGGAAAUGAAGCUUUUAAAACUUGAAUCCAGUAAGAACAUUUUUAAAUUAAAUUUAACUUUCUAAGGGACUACAAAUGCGUAAAAAUACAUAUCUAAGUGAUAAAGUGUAAAGCCCUGUUUUUCCAGAAAACUGCCUAUCUCUGCAAUGUUUCUACAGAAAGCUGCCUAUCUCUGCAAUGUUUCUACGGAAAAGCUAAUCUGGAUUCCUGUAAUUGCUCCAAAAAUAACUUGUACAACUGAGGGCGGAUUUCAUAAUCUCAAUAAUCCCUAAUGUCAGCUCAUAAUUUUUGUGCAACAGCGCAAAUAACACCGCUGCGGCGGAGUCUUUGGAUAGUCAAUUUUCUUAUACAAUAGCAGUCACACGUGUCUUUUGUUGUUUCCACUUUCGAAUCAUGCUUAUCGAUAGUAAGGCCUUCCACCUUAACAAUAUUUGAUACUUCAAUGAUAGCGCAACAGCUGUUAUAGAUUGGAAUUUAUUGCAAUAAAUUACUUUUACUGCUGUAAUGGCACCUGCGACAUUCAUUGUAUAUGACAGCAUUUGCAUUAAUUAAGAAGUAUUUAAAAAUCUGAUAAAACAUGGUAAUUUAUAUCAUAUUAAAUUUAAACUAAAAUCAAA